rnacentral:rRNA from 1 species
GACGAACGCUGGCGGCGUGCUUAACACAUGCAAGUCGAACGAUGAACCCGGAGCUUGCUCCGGUGGAUUAGUGGCGAACGGGUGAGUAACACGUGAGUAACCUGCCCUUGACUCUGGGAUAACUGCGGGAAACUGUAGCUAAUACCGGAUACGACCCUCGGCGGCAUCGCCAGGGGGUGGCAAGAAUUUCGGUCAAGGAUGGACUCGCGGCCUAGCAGCUAGUUGGUGAGGUAACGGCUCACCAAGGCGACGACGGGUAGCCGGCCUGAGAGGGUGACCGGCCACACUGGGACUGAGACACGGCCCAGACUCCUACGGGAGGCAGCAGUGGGGAAUAUUGCACAAUGGGCGCAAGCCUGAUGCAGCAACGCCGCGUGAGGGAUGACGGCCUUCGGGUUGUAAACCUCUUUUAGUAGGGAAGAGGCGAAAGUGACGGUACCUGCAGAAAAAGCACCGGCUAACUACGUGCCAGCCGCCGCGGUAA